GAGGCGCUAAAGCAAAAGACGGACCUAAGCAUGUAGAGCCAAUGGGCGAGUACCGGCGGACGCGGGUUCAAUUCCCGCCGCCUCCACCA
rnacentral:tRNA from 1 species